rnacentral:rRNA from 1 species
GACGAACGCUGGCGGCGUGCUUAACACAUGCAAGUCGAACGGAAAGGCCCUGCUUUUGUGGGGUGCUCGAGUGGCGAACGGGUGAGUAACACGUGAGUAACCUGCCCUUGACUUUGGGAUAACUUCAGGAAACUGGGGCUAAUACCGGAUAGGAGCUCCUGCUGCAUGGUGGGGGUUGGAAAGUUUCGGCGGUUGGGGAUGGACUCGCGGCUUAUCAGCUUGUUGGUGGGGUAGUGGCUUACCAAGGCUUUGACGGGUAGCCGGCCUGAGAGGGUGACCGGCCACAUUGGGACUGAGAUACGGCCCAGACUCCUACGGGAGGCAGCAGUGGGGAAUAUUGCACAAUGGGCGGAAGCCUGAUGCAGCAACGCCGCGUGCGGGAUGACGGCCUUCGGGUUGUAAACCGCUUUCGCCUGUGACGAAGCGUGAGUGACGGUAAUGGGUAAAGAAGCACCGGCUAACUACGUGCCAGCAGCCGCGGUGAUACGUANGGUGCGAGCGUUGUCCGGAUUUAUUGGGCGUAAAGGGCUCGUAGGUGGUUGAUCGCGUCGGAAGUGUAAUCUUGGGGCUUAACCCUGAGCGUGCUUUCGAUACGGGUUGACUUGAGGAAGGUAGGGGAGAAUGGAAUUCCUGGUGGAGCGGUGGAAUGCGCAGAUAUCAGGAGGAACACCAGUGGCGAAGGCGGUUCUCUGGGCCUUUCCUGACGCUGAGGAGCGAAAGCGUGGGGAGCGAACAGGCUUAGAUACCCUGGUAGUCCACGCUGUAAACGGUGGGUACUAGGUGUGGGGUCCAUUCCACGGGUUCCGUGCCGUAGCUAACGCUUUAAGUACCCCGCCUGGGGAGUACGGCCGCAAGGCUAAAACUCAAAGGAAUUGACGGGGCCCCGCACAAGCGGCGGAGCAUGCGGAUUAAUUCGAUGCAACGCGUAGAACCUUACCUGGGUUUGACAUGGAUCGGGAGUGCUCAGAGAUGGGUGUGCCUCUUUUGGGGUCGGUUCACAGGUGGUGCAUGGCUGUCGUCAGCUCGUGUCGUGAGAUGUUGGGUUAAGUCCCGCAACGAGCGCAACCCUUGUUCACUGUUGCCAGCACGUUAUGGUGGGGACUCAGUGGAGACCGCCGGGGUCAACUCGGAGGAAGGUGGGGAUGGCGUCAAGUCAUCAUGCCCCUUAUGUCCAGGGCUUCACGCAUGCUACAAUGGCUGGUACAGAGAGUGGCGAGCCUGUGAGGGUGAGCGAAUCUCGGAAAGCCGGUCUCAGUUCGGAUUGGGGUCUGCAACUCGACCUCAUGAAGUCGGAGUCGCUAGUAAUCGCAGAUCAGCAACGCUGCGGUGAAUACGUUCCCGGG